ensembl:lncRNA
CUUCAAAGUGUGCUCCAGCCUGGGGUCGGGACAGCAACCCACCAUCCUGGCCUCUGCAUCUCCUGACCACAGAUUCCUGCAGCUGGAUUAAAGCCCUCUCAGGGUUCCAGUCCCCUCCCCCAGGUUGCCCUCAGCUCCUCCAGGCCCCCACCAUACUCACCCCGAGCAGGGACCCCUGGGAGUCCCCGGUUCUCAGGGAGCAGUUCCUGGGUCUCCUGGAAACUAUGUCCCAAAAUUGUGAACCCAUGAUCCCACAGGCCUGGAGGCCCAUCGAGGCCGACCUACCCAGGACCCGUGUCCCAGGCCCCAAUGGCAUCCCCGAGGAGAGACGCCUGGCCUCUGUAUUUAGACUCCAGGUCAAGAAGCAAGAAACUGGCAAAGCAGGAGCUCAGGCUUGGCAGAGGCCAUCACACCCGAGGCUGCUCUCCCGAGACAGCCCCGAGGGUCCAGCAGCUUCCUGGAGGAUGCCACAAGCCCCACCUGGGCCAGGCCUAGGUGUGGUCCAGCUCGAGCACCCGGAGGGUGAAGCCCUGGCUCCCUCCCUGCGGCCGAUUGCAAAGACAGCCCUAGUCUUCACAUCUCCCAGACCCAGAUCCUUGGCUGAGCAGCCUCGCAGGGCCCUCCGCCCCCAUGUGAGUGCUCACCCAUGGCUUCCAUGAGCCCAUGCCAGAGGCUGAGCAGAUGCAGCACAAGCCUGCCGCUCUGCAUGGGGCUGCUUUCUUCAUCUGCAUCUGCCACCGCGGUGACAUCAGGCCUGGAUGAGUCUGCAGAGGAUCAGAGCAGAGCAGCCAUCAUCCCAGCCAGCCUAGCCAGGGAGCCGACCUGGACUGACCUGGACGCACUAAACCCCAUGGCACCUGAGAAACGUGCACUUCUGAUUUGGUAUUUAUUUGUUACCCGGUAUGACAGUGACAAAGACGAUGGACAGAGCCCUCAACUCACCAGGUAACGCCACCUGCUCUGAGGCAAGCCAGCACAACCCCCCAGGCAAUGGAGGCUCAAGAGGCUAAGGGCUUAUUCAAAGUCACGCUGGAAGUUGAUCCAACUUCAGAGUCCUCUUGGGACCUGCCCCCAUGAUGCGCUGGCCUGGCAGCCACAGGCGAGUCCGCCUCCACCCUGCCAUCCGGGAACCACAGUCUGGCAAGGAGGGCUGAGGUGGGGCAGGGUGGGUAUAUUUGGGAAUUUGAGGCAGAAGGGGCAGUUGUGCCAGGCCCUGAGGGCUGAGAUCAGUUUCUGCAGCUGGACAAUGAGGGGUGGAAGGACCCGCAGUCGCCAAGAAGAACCGCCCUAGUCCACUCGCACCACAGAGCCACCACUGCCACUGCGUUCACGGCCCCUGACACUAGGGACACUGCCACUGAGUUCACAGCCCCUGACACUGGGGCCAGGUGCAUUUCGCCUGCGCCUUUCCAUGAGAUCCAUCAGACUCCUGCAGGGGAAAAGCAGUCAACGAAGCAAUACGGUUUGAGCCCUGUGUGCCACCCCACCUUCCAUCUCCCAAGCUCCCCAUAAACCCACAGGAAAGGUUACCAUGACUCCUGAGCAAACUGCGACCCAGAGAGGUUCCAGACAUGCCCAGAGCCACACAGCCUCUAGGAAGCAGAAUCGGGAUGUGAACCCAGUCUGUGAGACUCCAGGCAUCCCUCAGAUAGAAAGGCAUGGUCCUCAUGAAAUGGCCCCGGCCAACUGGCAUUGGUGCCCUGGCACAGCCCAAGGACCUUGGAAAUGCCAUUUUCAAAGUGUUUGCCCUAAGACAACUGCCAGAGAACGUCAGGCUCUGCGUCUACCAACUACAAGGGCCUUGAACCUGUGGCCCCGGCUGUGGACAGUCACAGGCCAUGCAGGUUUUGGCUGCCUUCUCCACCAAGGGGGAGGUGCUUCCUGUCAGCUGCUGCCUUCCCCCCCGCCCACUAUGAAAUUCCCAAAGCAAAGCAAACAGCCAUGAUUUCCAGGGUGUCGAGCCUCAUGCCUCUGGCCCCCAAAUCCUGAACAUCUCCUGAGGAUUAUGGGCACCUCCAACUUAACAUAUGUGCCCAAAAACCUCAGUAGCCUCCCCCACAAAUCCCCUUUUCUCCAGGGUUCCCUCCCCAUCAUGCAAGCCAGAGGCCAGGUCCUGGGGUCCCCUCCUCCUGGCCUCCCCACCCCCGCCUCUCCACCUCCCGCCGUCACCAGGCAGGCUCCUUCUGCCCCCACACUACCCUGGUGAAACACCUCUCCCUAACCUGUGAGUCCGCUGUGAGAUCAGAGCUUAGCUCUGUGUCCUUGGACAAAUCACUUCACCUCUCUGAGCCUCAAUUUUGUCAUCUGUAAAAUGGGGAUGAUAAAAGCCUCUCUGUAUCCUUAAAAGGUAGAAUUUUCUGGCACACAUCACAACUUCUCAAGAAACAGCAGCUUCUACUGUUGUCACUGUCCUUGCAAUGAGUGCAGUGAAUGUGUGUGCAUCUGCCAGCAUCAAUCCUUCCCCAUCCAAUCCAGGAUAUGCGGUUUCUGUGAGUGGGGACCUAUCUCUUUCAGAGAUGGGCACAAGACCCAGAUCCAACCAAAGACAGCCAACCCCUCCUUCCCGUUUCCACCAGAUUUCUGCCGUGGGAAAUGAUGCUUUCUCAUCUGGGGGUGGCCAGGACGUGUGCUACAAGGACUCCAUGAGCCAGAGCUCCUGGGGCCAUCUCGCCCAUGUGCAGAGAAAUCCACCUACAGUAGCGUGGAUGCAGCAGAAUGGAGGGGCUGACAGCCUGUGAGGCAAGGCGUUGGGUGCACCUGUUGAGUGCUGGAUGCAGCUAUGCCUGAAGACAUGACUCCUCCCGGACUUUUCACUGAUGGAGCCAGUACAUUGUUUCUUGGCUGAAGUUAGUGUGGAUGAAGUUUCUGCCAUGUACAACCCUAAAGGGUGCUAACAAAACACAUGAAUGGGGGAUAGGAGCGUGCUUGGGACCAAGCGGUGUCACAGACUGGGCUUCUGUGAGGGGCAAGCCCUGUGCUUGGUGACCUGGCAGGGCCCUGGCAGGAAUUUUGUGGGGAAGGAGUGGCCAAUAGCGGUGGGCCCCUGGACAUAGCUUGUGAAGUGCCCAAAAGCAGGAGUCGUAGCACUGGCUCGUGGUGCUGGCUCACGUUGGGGGCUCAGUGCCAGCUGUCACUAUUUCCCUACAGAGCACUCUGGUGCCCUGGGCACUAUUCUGGGGGCUGUGCAGACAUCCCCCACCUGUCCUCACAACACCCUUCCUGGGAGGGGGGCUCAAAUGUGCCACCGCUUUACAGAAGAUGAGAUGGAGGGGCAGAGUUCAGGUAACUUGCCCAGAGUCACUCAGUGGGUACAUGGUGGUGUGGGUGUGACGCAGUCCCCAUGCUGGGACACACAGCCGCACAGGCACAGCCUCCUCUUGUCCUUCACUCUGCCUCACCUGCUCAAAAGGUCCUGACAAUGACUCUUGUGCCUCUGUGAGAAAAGAGCCCACAGUUUCCUACCCAGGCAGGGGCAGCUACUGAGGAUCUGUUCCCAGGAAC